rnacentral:miRNA from 1 species
GCUGGCGUGUGUGUGUGUGUGUGUGUGUGUGUGUUGGCAACGACGACGGGCACGAAACGGGAACCUCCCGCAC